UUCGUGUCUCCUCGAGUAGCCCCCAUGAUGUUAACUUCGUCUUCCUCCACUUCUUCCUCUCCGCUCUUCUCCUUAAAACCUCCUCAAUAAUUUCUCUUCCAAGGGAAAUCAGUCCUAUACAAGCUUAUGCAGAGAAACCUUGAGGGAAGGAAAAAUUCUUGAUUUCCCAGAGAAAAAGCUGUGUCAUGUCGAUGGAUAAUAGAGGGAAAGAUCCCAUACAGGAAGGAUCCUCGAGAUCCGUCGCGCCUUCCGGUGACCAUCUGCCGCAACCGACUCAACUGAGCCGCUACGAGUCACAGAAGCGACGAGACUGGAACACUUUUGGGCAGUACUUGAGCAACCAAAGGCCUCCAGUCGCAAUCUCCCAGUGCAACUCCACUCAUGUCUUGGAAUUCCUCCGAUACCUUGAUCAGUUUGGAAAGACUAAGGUGCACUUCAACGGGUGUGUGUACUUUGGCCAGCCUGAGCCGCCGGGGCCUUGCACAUGCCCGCUCAAGCAAGCGUGGGGAAGCCUUGAUGCGCUCAUCGGUAGGCUGAGGGCUGCCUAUGAAGAAAACGGCGGGUUGCCAGAGACGAACCCAUUCGCCAGUAGCUCUAUUCGGGUCUACUUACGCGAAGUAAGGGAUUCUCAGGCCAAGGCUAGAGGAAUUCCCUACAAGAAGAAAAAGAAGAGACCGAAUCGGAGUUUGAUGAAGCCCAAUAGUACUUCUAGCUCAAGUAUUCCUCUUCACCAAUCUUGAGCUACAAAGAUUCUAGGAACUGGACACAUUCGAUGCUGGGUAGGAAAAAUGCUCUCUCUCUCUGUCGAUGCUGCGAGCUUGAGUGAGCGUGAAAAGUCCAAAUUACUCUUUGGAGCCCUUAUUGCCUAUCAUAUAUAGUCUUUUCCAGAAUCAAGAUUGCUUUUUUAUGACUCAAGAACUGUACUUUUCCUUAAUUGAGAGAGGCAAGUAUCCAAUGCAGCAGUGAUAGAGGAAUACUUGCCUUGUGGGUGAGUCUCAAUUUCUUCUUUUCCAAUCUUUUCAACUCAGGUGAUGACUGUUUGGAGGUUUGAAACAUUUGAGUUCAUGAAUGUCUUCCACCAUAUGUAUAACUAUUGAUGCAACUCUAUGACCACUGCAACUUUCCCCGACA